rnacentral:lncRNA from 1 species
CUUUUUUUUUUUUUUUUUUUUUUGUGGUGGGGUUGUUGGUGGGAGGAGGGGGUCUUAAUUGUAGAAGAAUGUAAUUGAUUUUGAGAUCAGGCAGAGAAUUUUCGAAGGAAAAAAAAACUUAUGAUUGGGUGUUACAACAAUUGGAGGACAGGAGUUCAUGUGAUAUAAUAACUUGUAAAGGGUGAGACUAAAGUAUGUUGUACAACUCACAACUAUAAGACUUGAAAACAAGCCUUUUCAAUCAACUUCUAAGGCUCGAGAACUAAUUAAAGUAUUAAAACCAAGGUUAAUUUGUUAGUGAGCCACACAAAUAUACAAGAAAGGUGUAUUUUAGAAGUUGUUAACUUUCUACUAAUGAUACCUUUGGAAUAAACAAGAAAGCUAUACUAACGUAUAUUUGUGAAGUAAAGUUAUUUCACUUGUAUCUAUUGUAAAAAACAAAAUGAAAAGAUGCAAAUAUCAACUUAUGCUGCAGAUGCCUUGCUAAUUAGCCCUCCUAUAAUCAACUUACACUAUUAAGCAUGACAUCUUAUGAACAAUGAGGGGUUAAUAAUUGUGGUUUUUGAAAAUAUUGAGUAAUUUAAUUAUGUUAUCUUCUUAAUUAGGAGGUGAAUAGCAUCACUCAACUUCCACAAAUUAUUCUCUGGCCCCAAGAAAAAGGACAAAGAUAAAAAAAAAAGGAAGAUCUUCCAUAAAGAACUGGGGUGGCAUUUGGCUCGCACAUCGGAAUCGGAUUCGGAUUCGGAAUCGGAUAUCCUGGGUUUGGAACGAGAUCAUUCAUUCCAAUACAUUUGUUUGGUUCAAAUACCUGGAAUUUGUGUCAUUACUAUAGUUGAUGUUUGAUUCGUCGACUCUUUCAGAAUGGAAUAUAAUAAAUAUAUUAUAAACCACAUCGUAAAUAAUUGUUAUUGGCUCUUUGUAAAUGGGAUAUAAGAAAUUUUCACUAAUUAAAUAUAUUAAUAUAAAUGUAUUAGUAAAUUUAGUCUAACUAAUUAAAAAUUUCUAUUAGUAAACAUGUUUAGUUAUUAGUAUAAUUGAUAAUAUUAAUUAUAUUACAUAAAUUAAUAUACAUUAUAUAAUACAUAUAACUAAUAAUAAUAUUAUUAUAAGUUCGUAACUAAUUAAAUUAAAUAUUAUAUAUAAUUAGACAUAAAUAUAUAAUUACAAUUAUAUAAUAUAUACAAAUAUUAAUUAUACAAAUAUUUUAUAUAAAUAUAAUAUAUAUUACAUAUUAAAUAUAGUUAUUAUUAUAUUUAAAAUAAUAAUUGUAAUUAUAAUUAUAUAACUUAUUAAUAUUACAUACGUGUAUAUAUUAUAAUUAUAUGCACAUAUAAUAGACAUUUAUAUUAUAAAUAUAUUAUUAUAUAAUAUUAAUAAAUUUAUAAUAUAUAUUAUAUAAGUAUAAUUAUAUUUAACUAAAUAAUUAUAAUAUAUAAUUAUAUAAUAUAAUAAUAUCAUUAUUAUAAGUUUGUAACUAAUUAAAUUAAAUAUUAUAUAUAAUUAGACAUAAAUAUAUAUUUAUAAUUAUAUAAUAUAUACAAAUAUUAAUUAUACUAAUAUUUUAUAUAAAUAUAAUAUAUAUUACAUAUUAAAUAUAGUUAUUAUUAUAUAUUAUUAUAUUUAAAAUAAUAAUUGUAAUUAUAAUUAUAUAACUUAUUAAUAUUACAUAUAUGUAUAUAUUAUAAUUAUAUGCACAUAUAAUAGACAUGUAUAUUAUAAAUAUAUUAUUAUAUAAUAUUAUGAAAUUUAUAAUAUAUAUUAUAUAAGUAUAAUUAUAUUUAGCUAAAUAAUUAUAAUAUAUAAUUAUAUAAUAUAAUAAUAUCAUUAUUAUAAGUUUGUAACUAAUUAAAUUAAAUAUUAUAUAUAAUUAAUUAUAAUUAUACAAAUGUUAUAAUAAUUAAUUAUUAAUUAUAAAAAUGUUAUAAUAUAUAUAAAUAUUAAUUAUACUAAAUAUUAUGUAAUUAUAAGAUUUUGGAAUCAUACUUGGAUUUUGGACAAAACCCACCCCUUUAUUAAGGAAUGGAGGGUUGCCAAAUUUUUAGAAAUCAUUCCAAAAUUUCAAUUCCCAUACCAAACACUAAUUAUGGAGUUUAUUUCAUUACUUCAUUCCGAUACCCUUUUACCAAACGCCCCCUAGGUUGUAAUUCAGUCAUGAGAAGGAGAUGUAAGUCAAACCUACAGUCCAAUAAUUAGACCCCAUCACUUUCUUGGUCUUUGGCAGCUUGUAUUAUUGUGGUGAUGACCAUUGUUUUCAUUCACGUCAUUUCCUUGAGGCAAAACAGGAUGAUUAUGUAAUGCCCUUUGCAGAAAUCAUAAGAAAAGUGCUUGUAAUGUUCAAACAAAAAAUUGCUGCAGUAUAUUAAGAAAAUAACUUUUGUUAAAUGUUGGAAGUUUUUUAAUUGAUUAUGGUGCUGUUGUGAGUGCAAAUUUCGUGGGCUAAUUACUUUUAGGUUAUAGCUAAAAGAAGGAAAAAGAAAAACAAUAAUGUGGCAUGUGGAUGCUCUUCUUUUACACCUAGUUAUGAUAUAAAAGCUUAAUGAAAAUUGUUUCUUUCCCCCACAAUUUUGAUGCAUGGAAUUAGAUUUUUUUUUAUAUAAGGAAGGCCGUAUUGGUGAUACAUCUUGCAUUUUAGUCUAGUUAGAAUUCCAUGUGACCUGAACAUUUUCGUAUAAUUCUGAACCAAAUAUUGGAAAAUUCACUGUCUUUCAUAAACUUUAUAACAUCAAGUUGAAAUAAAAAUGAACGAACUGAAAAGCCACAACCUUACAUUUUGUUAAAUAAAAAAUACAAUUACUAAUAAACGACUGAUUAUUAAAUAAAACUCUUACAAAUUGAAGCAUAAUUUUUUCCCUUACAUUUUGUCAUAGACUUAAGACUAACAAAAUAUUGCACCAAAAUCAUGUCCAAAUGAUGCUGUAUUAGCUCUUAUGGAGCUUAUGAAAUGGCCUAAUUUUCUACACUCCGAGAUAAUGUCAAAUUUUUUGGGGAAAGCUAAACUAUUGACAGGGAUCGAAUUGAUUUGUCUAAUAAAGCUAAAGGACUAUAAUGUUUAAGUACGAUUUCCUGAAUGAGUUUAGGCACCUUAGGGUUACGUACCCAUUUUGGUUUUUGACCAUUUAUAAGCUACGUGAUUCACAUGCAUAGUGCUAUUAUUGCACACAUAAAAGUUCAAAUACAAAUAUUCUUAAAAUUGAAGGGUUCCAUCCGUCCAAUCAUUGAUAACGUUGGCUAUUUGUUGUAUUAUAGUAAUAUGACAAUAGCAAAUUAUCAAAAUGUUAUGGUGUUGCAAUUUUCAAAUCGAAGAAUCUUCAUAUCUUAAAAGAAUUUCAUUAUAAUUGAUUAAUAGGAUAGGAGAAAAUUGAAAGACUUUUCAGUUUCUUUUUUGAUAAGAAAACAACAAAAAAAUUUUAUUACUGAGAUUACUGGAAACCGUCCAGUACGAUUUGCUUGACAAAAUUUGGAGGAGCAGACCAAAGAGAUUCAUGAAGGGUGGCAAUCUUUGCUUGGUUGGCUAAGGUAUGCGCAACCUCUUAUUUACCUCCCUUGGUAUCCAUUUGACAUCAAUACAAAGUUGAUCUAGUAAGGCUAAGCAUAUGUCCUCAAGAAUCAAGCCUAAGUCAGACAGGAUGUCUUCCUUAGCGAGAAUGAGUUUAAUAAUUGAAGAUGCAUCUUCCUCUAAAAUAAAGCUUGGGAUCAUUAGAUUUCGAGCCAAGCAGACCGCUUUCCUAGCAGCAUGGGCUUCCGCUAUUUCUGCACUCACCGAACCAACAAAUUUCUUUGCGAGGCCAGCUAUAAAAGAGCCUUCAUGGUCGCGGACUACUACACCAAUGCCAAAGAUGCUUUGAGCUGUGGAUAUGGCAGCAUCAAAUUAAUUUUAAAAUGGGGGGAAGGCGGGGCUGACCAUUUCAAUUGAGCAAUCUGUGAUGGAGUCAUAGUAGGACGAGCAUUGGCCUCAUGAAAUUCACUAAGACUGUGCGUUGCCAAGUUGACUAAGGACAUGGGAUGCCAAAAUAUGCCAUUGAACAGAGCAGAAUUCCUGUUGUUCCAGAGUGCGUAGUACAACACAGCAAAAAUUUCACAUUCAGCCCCAGUCAGCGAACGAAUAAUUUCCUUGUACCAAAGCUCAAAACUGGAGUGUUGGCAACUCUGAAUUUUCCGCUCUAGGAAGACAAGUGCCCAGACUUGCACUGCCAUUGGGCAGUAGAAGAAAAUGUGGGAUAGGUUGCCAUAGGUCCCUUUGCAGAUAGCACAAGUGACAUCCGAUAGGAUUCUGCGCUUCAUGACGAGGUGCUUUGCUUUUGUUGGGGAUAUCGAGGGCCCAAAUCUUUUCAGUUUCUAGAAGAUAUCCCUGUGUAGCAAAUCCAAAAUCUUUAGAUUGUUCAAUAUUUUGUGAUCAUCUAUAUGUAUUUGAAAUUUGAAUAUACAGAUGAUCACAAAUCUGAUCACACAAACACACACGAUAAAAAUAUAUACAUAUACAUAUAUAUAUAUAUAUCACGAUAAAAAUAUAUACAUAUACAUAUAUAUAUAUAUAUAUAUAUAUAUAUAUAUAUAUAUAUAUAUAUAUAUAUAUAUAUAUAUAUAUGUCAUUCAAAAAAGCUCCAUUCCAGAACCAUACGUGAAAUUUUAGCUUUAUACGCUCCUGCCCUCUGUGUAUAAGGAAAAUAAUACAAGGACUUAAAAAAGAUUAAAACAUUCUCAUUAUGAACUGGAUGGGGCUAGUGUUUUUACAAAAAAUAUCUAGCCAACCUUCCUACAAGAGAUCCAAACCUGUUGGGACUAUAAAUAAAAAUGAUACCUACAACAAUUUCUUUGUUUUCAACGCUUCCUAGUUUUUAUCCUACCAAAAUAAAUAAAUAGAACUUAAGCCCCCUUUUGAUAUGGGAAUGAACUUAUGCCCCUGGCCCCUACCUCUUUGAGAAGAUAUUUUAAUUGUAUAUAAAAUGAAAUUUCCACAAUAAAUGCAAGUCCUUUUUUCGCCUGUUCCUCAUAGAAAGUCGAUCAAACAAUUCCCAAUCAUGGUCCCCUCAAUUAUUUUCACCAUAUAGAGAUAUAAGCAAGCAUUGCGAGCAGGUGAUGCGAGAUAAUAUAUAUAUCCCUAAGUGUAAAUUCACAUGGCAAAAUCUAAAUCAUACGUUUAAAAAUUUAGAAUGAGCGGCCAAAUCAUGAACACUAAUCGCAAUUGAGAGUCGACAACAAGUGUGACUCUAUCCAUUUAAAUGGUAAACUACUUCCACCAUUGAGAAAACCCACAUUCAAAAUAUGUUAAUGUGACCAGGCUAUUUUCUAUUCACCAAGAUAUUUUAUUAAGGGAGAUCUGGUCUCUAUCAGCACGCUACAUAAUUUGUACUAUCGGACUUUGUGUUGAAUAUAUUAGAAACUUCGAUAAUUAAAAAAAAUAUAUCAAAGUAAAAAAAAAAAAAAAAAAAGAAGCUAAAUCUCAAGUACUCAUACAAUUGGUGCACAUGUCCAUAUUAUUAUUAUGUCACUUAAGACUGUAUUUCUUGAUUGGGGCAGCACGCAUUACGUAAGCGAUUCUCCAUAUUUUGGAGUUUGGCUUUGGCAUGCGCAAAAUAGUAGAACUUGUCUAAUUCAUUGUACUAGGCAUGAUGAUGGAUGCCAUAGUGUCAAUUGCAACUUGCAGUGAGAAAUGCAAUAGUCAAUGAUGAUUGUGCUAAAUACGUUACAUAUAUACAUUAUAUACACAUAUACAUAUACAUGUAUAUUUGUAUUUGUCUCUUUGCAGAUUGUAGAACUUGUAUAAUGGUGAGUCACAUCAUCAACUGCUAAGAAAUUCUUGCAAGUAAAGAGAUGCAUAUAUUGUUAUCUGACCACUAUAUAUAUAUAAAAAAAAUGUAUGUGUGUGUGUUGAUAUCAUAACUAAAUCAGGUAGUAUAGCCUUGCGAAUAAUCACGUAGUGGGUGUGAAAGGACAAAAUUUGAGGAACAAGGUAGGGUUAAUUGAAGAUUUGCAUGGAUUAAUUUAAAUUGUCAAUUGUCUUUUGAAUGUGCAAUAAGUUGCAAACAAAGUUUAACUCACGUUUAUACUUUAUAGGUUUGGAUAAUAGAUGCCGUGAGCGCAUUCUUUAAAUAUAAGUGUGUGCAUUCAUAUAAUAAAUUAAGUGCAAUAUAUAUGUACUAACGAGUGUCCCAAUGGCACUCAUUAAAAAUUGGAUGUUUAUAUACUUAGGUAUACUUGUAUUAAAAAUAUAUUAUAUCAAUGAGUAUAGAAGAUUAAUCUAAAUAUAAUGGAAUUGCCUUAGAGUUCCAUAGUAAUUCCCUCUCCCAUGUACGCAGAGCACACAAUUCUAUUAUCAUUAAUAACAGUAUUGAUUUUUUUUAAGUGUGUCCUGCAAGGAGUGGACCCCGCAAACUAUUCACCACCCUCAGCAACUUGCUAGCAGCAAGGUUCGAACCAGGGACCUGAGACUCCAUCUUCAGCAACCUCAACCACCAGACCAAGCCCCUGAGGGCAAUAACAAUAUUGAUUGAUGACAAGCCACUGCCAAAAAUGUGAAAUUCGUAUGAUGUAAAUUGAAUAAUUACUUUUUUGGGUAGGUCACUACAAGAAAUUUGACUUUUUGUGAUAACAUUCUCAAUGACAAAAGAGAAAUUUGUUACAAUUGCGAAAAGGGUAAAUUCCACUUUGUCCCCUCAAACUAUAAGCAGAAUCCCACUUCAAUCCCUAAACUUUAAAAUGGGACAUUUAAAUCCUUAAACUAUAAAACAUGUCUCGCUUUACUCCAAUUUUUAACAGAAUGCACGAAACUUAACGGAAUAGUUGCCAAUUCUGUUAGUUAUUAUUAUAAUUAAAGUUAACCAAAUCCAAUAGGGACAUAAGUGUAAUUUCUUGAAAUCCAAAGCUUUUGAUACGCUCCAAAUUUUUAAAAAUUAUUCAUUCACCUUCUUUCUCUUCCUCCCCAUCUCUCCCUUCAUCCCAGCCACACACCACCCAUGCCACCCACUACCACCUUUUGCCACCAGAAGCUCUAACCCUACCCUUGACUCGUAGCCUUGCAUUAGUUAAUUCUUGUAACAUAAUCACAAAAAAAAAUAAUUAAAUAUCAGAAACCAAAUCAAUAUCAACAAAAAAUUUUACAACAAAAAAAAGGAAAGAAGAAAUUCAAAGAACAUGCUUGGUAUGAACAAUUUUGGAGGGUCUGACAUUUUUGGGGUCAUUAUUAACAAGCUACGAGGCUCAAGACAUGCAACUCAGUUUGGACAACCUAGAGCUAUAGACAACAAAGAGGAAGAGUCGAAAAAAGAAUCUCCUCCAACUCCAACAUAAUUACACAUUCCCAAACCCAAUCUGAAUCUCAUCAAGACUACCUUCUGUUGUUGGUUUGGAUAUGAACACCCAUUCAUCUUCUUACUUUUAAUCUAUUUUCUUAUUCACAGAUCCAAACCUAUGUAAAAGAUAAACAUAUUCACGAAUCCCACAAAAAUUAGUCGUGCCUAGAACAAAUGGAAAUGAAUUUAGGAGAUGAUAUAAAAAUUGAAAAAAAUAAUAACAACUAAAUACUUUUAUUAGCACAAAAUAAAUGUGGAAAAAUAAUGGGUUUUAAAAGAGAGAAAGGGAUAGGGGCAGAACUUGGUGGUGGGUCAUGUGGUGGGAAGAGGAGAGCAAUAGAGCAAUGGAAGGCUAGGCUGAUAGAGAAAGUAUGGAACGAGAGAUUUUUGGUGGGGUGAAUGAAGAAGAGGGGAUAAGAAAUUGGGUGGGGCGGCUAUUCAAAGAGGAGACAAAAAACAAGUUACAGGUUGUGAUAAGUACAAUUGGUGAUGUAUUGGUAUGGCAAACAUUUUGUGAUUUCUUCUGUGAUAAAUGUCUUAUUUUUGGAUUCAUCACUGGGGAGUGGGGAGGAGAAUGAAGUAGUAAAGCGUGGCGGACGAUGAUGGCAGGAGAAAAGGGAGAUGAUGGUGUAGCAGUGGUGGAUGUGCAGUAUUGGAGGAAGAAGGCAGUGAAGAAAGAAAGAAAAAAAAUAGAAAAGGAAAUGAAAGGAAAAUAGAAAAAAAGGUGGAAAAAAUAAAAGAAAAGGAAAGUUUAAAAAAAUGGUUUUUUUGUUUAAAAAAGGGAAAAACUUUAAUUAUUAUUAUUAAAGAGGUAAAAUUAUCUUUAUUUCUCUGUCUCUUUGUUUUUUUUUUAUAUUGGGUCUCAUGAAAUUAAAUUUAUGUCCCUAUUAGAUUUGAUUAAAUUAAAUUAUAAUUAUAACCUAAAUGAAUUGGCAACUAUUCUGUUAGGUUUUGUGCAUUCUGUCAAAAUUUGGAGUAAAGUGGGACGGAUUAUAUAGUUUAAGGAUUUAAAUGUCCCAUUUUGAAGUUUAGGGACUGAAGUGAGAUUUUGGGCAUAGUUUGAGGGGACAAAAUGGAAUUUACCCUUGCGAAAAUUAAGUGAUAACUUUUGAUGUCAUCAUAGUUGACCAUGGGUACACUCAUCAACAGUGACAACAAGGGAUCAGUCGUCACAAUAUGGAUGGCGCGCAACUAACGGGUGUGGCAGGAGAUCACCACUGUGAUGACUGGAAAAUAGGUUAUACUGAAAAAUUCAUACGGGUGCAUAGUGCACCUGUCUAGUCUGAUAGUGGUUUAGUUCGCAUUAAUUUCCUGUAUAUCUAGUUAGACCUCUCCCUAAGAUUAUAUUAGAGUAGGGUAGUAUAGAUAAAGUGACGAUGACAAAAUAAAAAAAAAAAGAUGAUUGAGGAGAAAUUUCAGUACUCUAGUCUAAGCAAUUGUAGCAAAGUUAUAUAUUGAACCGUGUAUAGAAUAUGUCUUAUCAAAUCGAGUGAAGAGGACAACUCUUUCUUUCUCCUAUUGACAAUUCCUUCAAUUUAUGAGAAAAUAAGAUCGAUUUAUACAUUGACUUUUUUUAUUUUACAUUUACAGACGAGAAUUUUUCAAAUCUCUAAUUCUAUUUGUUUCAACAAAAAAAAAUUUAGUAAAAACUUGACUCGAUUUUUGAAUGGUGAAGCCAUGUUAAGAUAACACCAUUAGUUGUAAAAAUCAAAUAAUGCUAAUUCGAGAUAGUUUUGGGGCAGAACUAUGAUUAUACACGUGCUACAUUAGACAGAUACUAGCAAAAAUUAGAGAAGACAAGGGACUAAACUCAUAUUAGUAAUUAUUAAGUCUAGUUAUAAACAAAAAAUUGUAAAUGCAUAAAGCUAAGCAAGAGCGGACUUGUGCAACUUUUAAGGGUACAAAUUUGUCCACUUGAGCUACGUUGAUAAUUCAAUCAAUUUAUAUAUAGUUCAUAAAUAUUUAGAAUAUCAAAAUAGAGAUUCUAAACUUUGCAAAGGGAAGAAAAGAAGGGAAUGGUUAAAUGUCAAACCAUUUGUUACUUUUUUUUUUUUUUUUUUUUGUUGCUUGCGGAGUGGGUGUUCGGGUCAAUCCUUACGGGGCCCGACUAAUCCCACUUCGGCUAGGGAGGAGAGGCCCCAUCCCCCCGAACACGAUAAUCACAGGACUCGGAUCUUUGCGGGUACUGGACACCAGUUCCUAAGAAGGUUUGCUGAAACCAACCGAAUUACCCAUGAGGAACAGACAAUUUGGUGGCCCUGACCUCCCACCGGUGGCCACUGAGCUUUAACCAUUUGUUUACUUGGUCAUUGUCCUUCUCAAUUCAAUUGAACCGACCAUUAUAUUCAAUUGGACAAGUAAUUGUUGUAUACCUUUUAAUUUUACCUAAUCAGCCAAAGCGGGGCAGGUCUGGUCCAAGAACACUCAGGUCUGGGCAGCGACAAAUGAGCUAAGUAGAACCAAUUAGUCCAUGGGCAUGAGCCCAAGCGUGGCAUCAAAUGAUGGUGUCAUUGAAAUUUUUUUUUUUUUUUUCAAGUAUGAGUGGAAGAUCUCGAAUUCGGAACUUCUCAUUUACGUUCUCUUCCCGUACUGUUCAAUCUCUCCCUCCCCCUGGUGUUAUUGACUUGAUUGUUCAUUUGUCACAACAUCGAAAACAAUUGAUUGUAGGAGAGCAAAAAGUUUAAAUUUCAUCAUUAGUUCACAAAUAAAAGACACAUCAAUUUUUUUCCUAGAAGGAGAGGAUAAAAAUUUAUAUAGAAAAUAUCUUCAGAUAGUAUUAAAUUAGUAAUUAACAAUAUGUGGAGAAAAAAAUCAGUUUCACAUAUACUACUGUUUCUAGAAAACCCAAGUUAAAAAAAAAUUUCUUAGAGCGUUCUCUGACUAUAUAUUUUAAUUCACAUAUGAUCUUCACUAUAAAAUGACUAUAGUAAUAAUUUAAAAAUAAAAAACACUUUAAAAACAACCAUUCAAGUAGAUCCUAAGAUUUGCUGAUAUAUGGUGUUAGGAAUAUAACCACAUAUUAUUAUCUUUCUUUCUUGUAUUUUUAGGUAAAUCAAGAAUUUGCACUUCAUUUUCAGGAAAAAAAAAAUCCCCAUGUGCUAUCAAUUAUUAAGAUGAUUUCCAUAAGAAGAAAGCAAUUAGGUCAUUCAAAAAUCAAAGAAGGGAAAGGUCAAAAUCCAAAAAGGGACAAAGAGAAGUGAGAAGACAAGAGCUACAACUUGGAUAUACAGUUGGCAAUCGGGAACAGGAGCACCAGCAGUUGCUGCUACAAAUCACGGGUUUCCUUUGUGUUUCAGUGCGUGAAUGUGUGUGUUGGGGAGGGGGUCACUCACUGUUCAGCCAAACCUUUCUACGACCUUCCAUGUGACAAAUUGACCAACAACACGUUCGGAUGCUUCCCUGAUCGAGGGGAAUGGACUGCACCACACCUUGCGUACUUGAGCUGUCGCCUGUCUUGUACGCGCAACCAUUUCCAGCCAUUUCUUGAUGUGAAUGGUCAUCAUUAUUAUAAGGGAAGGAAAAAAAAGGGUUAAAUUUUGUGAGAAAAUUUUAACAUUCUCCUAAUAUUAUAUUAAUUUUGAAGGUGUUUUUUUUAGUAAUUUAGUGGUGGUUUAAUGUUGUUUAAGUGCUUUCACUUUGAGUUGAAUUGUAAUAUAUUAGUAUUAAUUUUGUCGUCGUGACAUAAUUGUAAUUUCGUCGACAGAAGUGUUCUUGAUUUGAUGCAAUUAUGAGAAUUGCUUCUUAAAUUCUACUCCUCUUUUGCUAAUUUUUUUUUAAUAAAAAAAAACUGCUUUCAGUUUGAGUUGCUGAAAUGCUGUUUUGUAAUCUAUUGAUGUUGAUUCUGUAAUCAUGAAUGAUUAAAUCCCAAUUUCAUCAAUAGAAAUGUGUUCAAUUUAGGGUAACUAUGGGAAUCAUUAGUGGGCAAUCUAGACUUAAUAGGGGAAAAAUAAAAUUUAAUUUUUUUGGGGCAAGAAAAAUUAUGCCAUAUCUUAGACCAAUAUUUAACAAAGAUGUUUGGACUUCAAAUCCCUAAAAACAUAACUAAAUGGAAAUUUGAACUCUCAGUGUUUCUUUCUUUCCCUUCUUAGCUAUUCACAAAGGCACGCAUGAUGUCUAGUAACGGUUGACCAAAUUAUAUGCUCUCUUUUCCUAAGAAUAUCACAUGAAUUUGUACAAAAGCAACUCCAUCCAAAGUCUUCAUUCGAUUUUUCUUAUGAAGGACAAUCAAACUCUUUGAGUUCAAACAUGAGCUUUAGAAUCUACUUUCAACUUACGUUUUAACUUUGGAGAACUAUCCUUACCAACCAAAAGAGUUAAUGGAUUUUGCUUGCCUGAGUGAGUUUUUCGAUCCAGGCAACUGCAUUAACAACCCCACUUUUAGUUCAACUUCCCACGGGGCCGGUUUUGCCUUUCCCAAUCCUUACCUGCUUCAAGAAAGUUUUAACCAAAAAUGAAGGGAGAUAUCAGUUCUAGUUGAGUUGCUUUAGAGAGAGAUCUGUGAGGAUGAGCAAGGAGGGGAAGCAAUUGCUUCCCCAUCAGCAAGGGAAAACAGGAGUGUCACCCCAAAAAAGGAAAAUAAAGAAAUGGAGACCAAAAACCAUUCAUUACAAGCUUAUCAGUUGCCAAACUUCCAAGUGAAACCCUCAUAACUUUUUACACUUUCGGCCUAGGGACCGGCUCAAACAUAUCAAUCAACACCCUUUUGGUUGCUUUGACAUUCCUGGCUUCCAACUGGGAUGAUUAGGAGGGCUGCACUUGGCCAGCUCCUCCUCAUGUUUAGAUGCCUCUUAGAAAGGGGAAACCUGAGAACCACUGCUACAAAGCCAUCAAAUAUGGUCACCUCCCCAAGAAUAUUAGCCACAAAGUCAUGAAUUGGUAGCCUUUGGACCCAAAAGAUUUGCAAACAGGGGGCUUAGAAUUUCCCAGUUGACAUGUGCCUGAAUAUUCAGAAUAAGUUAAUCACUACAGGCUUCAUAAGAACCAGAAUCAAACAGUGGUUUUCAGCUCCUCCAAGCAUUUUCUGACCUAAAUUUCAUUUUCUUAGUCCCCUUAUACCGUGAUUUGCUGACUGAAAGACCAGUCCCACAGACCUAAAAGAAUAAUUCAAUUAGAAACAUAUGGAAAUAUGGUAAAGACCCUGAAUUGCAGUAGAUUCUGGAGGAUAUAGGGAUCAAAGAACUGUUCAGCAACAUAAAACAAGCCCAUUUGACAAGAAGAAAGGCAAUAUAUAUACCCGCCACACUAGUUAAAAUUCUUAGCCAUUUCUUUUUAUGCAGGGGGGAUAUGAUAAUUAGCAACUGCAUGCCAGUAGUAAGCAGGAAUGAGAACAUUAUUCCAUCUGAAGCAACUCCAGCCAGAAAACAAAGCUAGGACGGGAAUAAUAAAGCAUUAGAUAGCUCGCAUGCAAUGCCUUAUGCAUCGCCAGAUGACAAAAAAAAUCUAAUUAUCACAACACAACAACCUCUUGACUACCCAUUUUUAUUCUUUAAAGCCAGUUACGAACACUUUCACACAGAAACCAGAGGGUAAAGUAUAAGACAUGGAAAACGCUCACUUUCAGCAAAUGGAGUCCAUGUUUUGAUUGCUAACCUGCCUAUAAAAUAUGUAGUUAAACUCCUAACCAAUAAUCAAAAUUUAAAUCUGACAGGAUCGGGAAUCUGAUAAUGAAUAUCGGGAUUGUUUUCCCUUUGGACUUUGACCAAAUCAACAUUGAGUAAUAGAAAUGCCAAAAGAAGCUGGUGUCAUCUGGCAAGUCCAGAGAAGAUGUUUCUACCGCACAGACAACAUUCCUAUAGACGUCAAAGUACCUCAGCCUUAAUAAAACAGGUAAUUCUCACGUCCAUACAAAUAAUUACAAGAGGGGAUAACGGAGGAUAAUAAAUUACAAAGCAUUACUAUUAACUGGUUCACUUCUCUUGCUCUAUACCACAUCGUACAUAAUGUGUCUUUACAGGAGGCCUGCAAAAUAUUAAAAUAAAAUAAACCGAAUGCAGCUUUUGUCAUUUUGAAUGGCACAUUCACCAUAAUUAAAACUAGAACUAACUUCAUAUACUGCUCAACGAGAAUCAUAAGUGUCCUUUGAUGAACUAAGUUUACAUUCAACAGAUCGUGAUUUUACUGAUAAAAGGACAUAGACAAGGCCUUAGCUUAUAUACUUAUAAGAGAACAAAAAAUACAUUUAUCUACAAACCUGAGUAACUCUGAUGAGCAAGACCAAGAAUCAUGGAGAAAAAGAAAGGAAAUAUGGAGAAGAUAUCUUGUCUUAGGUUUUCCACACCCGGAUAGUUCCAUCAACAGAUGAAGUCACCAUACAGCUAUCUGUUGGGUGAUAGCUGACGCUAGUCACCUGCCACCAGUGAAAGCAUUUGAUGUCAGUCCAAUUUUCACAAUAUAGGAAAUUUAAAAAUACAUUCUUUCUUCAUGUACAGCAAAAAAUGUAUUCAGAUUUUUUCCCUCAGGAUUAUUCUUGGAAAAGGUAGGCGAUCCUUUACUUUGUUGACUAUAUUCUUUUUGGUAUAGACCAGUAGUGAAAUGGCAUAGUCAUAAACUUUUGAGGGUUCUGGAACAUUUAUCUUAACUCCUCUAGGACUCCCACAUACACCUUUGCCCAAGAAAACAAAUAACAUUAGAUUUAUUUCUCCUCCAACAAGCAUGACGUUGGGUUGUAAUAUCUAAUGCAAUGAUUGAAACCAUAAAUGGUUGGCUGCCUAAUCUGUUAAAGAUGAAGAUAACUUCUACAAAUUCGACAAACACACAACAAAAUGUUGUUGAUUGAAUCCACUCACCUAGUACCAAUACACAAGUGUUAUCACAUGUUGUUGAAGCUGAAAUUGUGAAGACUAAUGUGAAGUUCCAAAAUGGGUCAGGUAAUGAUAAUCACUCGCUGCAGACACAAAAUACUAAAUCUUCAAUUUCCAGUUUUCCUCAUUUAAAAAACCAUCCUAACAUCUAUAACUUUUACAUGGGAUUCUGCAGAUAGGUAGAUUAUUAGUACAAGCCCCAAGUGGCUUGAAAUUAAACCCAAAACUUAAAGUUAAGAAAUCUUUACCCACCUAGAGAUCUAACCAAAGAUCUCCUCCCUUCAGAGAGAGAGAGAGAGAAAGAGAGACAGAUUUACCCAGAAAAAGGUUAAACUUCAUAGGGAAAAUUCAUGAAUGCGUACUUUAUGAUCCUGGAUUAGAAAAUCAAUAAAUAAAGGCAUACGAAAAUCUCAAGUGUCAUGACACACCCUCAACGUAUGCUAAAUAAGCUUUUUAACAUACGCAAAGCAAACACUAAAUCAUGCAAAAUUAGAAAUAAGGCAUAACUUUCUCAAAAGGGUAUUUUGAAUUUCAAAAAGGCUAUGAUGCUUCACGUAUCAGAAGCCGCAUUCAUCUAUUAAAAAAGAUAAUUAGCCAUUUUCCUGAAAAUAUAAACAGAUUAAGAAAAGUGGACUGAAAAAUUUUACUUCGUGCACUAAAAGGCAGAACUUUGAAUAUGAGGGUUGCCCCAAUUGAGAUCAACUAAAACUCAAAACAGUUAUAUUAGUUAAACACUGAGUAAAUGCAAUAACAGAUAUGUCAGUGUAGAAUGUUACCACUGAGGAGUGAGCUCGGAAGCUUGAUAUGGCAGAUGCAUCCACCAAAUCCCAGAAGUAGAUAAAGCCAUCUUCAGAACCCCCAGUCACAUGCGCAUCACUAUUUGUGAGGCAGCAGUCCAUCUUAAAUGACUGAUACGGCAAAAACAAAACAGAGAAAAUUACUAUUCACAGACAAAACACUAAGACACCAUAUAAACAAAGUCAAAACUUGCUUUGAAAUGGGGAAAAAAUGUAGCAGUGUCAUCACAGAAAAGAAUUGAUCUUGAGUAUUAAGACGGAGAAGUGCAGUAUGUUCCUGUUCAAAGUUUAGGAAAAGAAGUAUAAAACUUAUACUAUGUCUAUAUUAAGGACCAAAAUGAGGCUCCACAAGCUACCUUGCAAGUAUGACCUUUAUAUUCUUGCAAAAGUUCACCAGUAGAUCUAUUGUCAUCAGAGAGAAAACGAGAUCAUGUCAACGAUUCAACAGAUAAAAUACAAGGGCAUUAUACAAAAGUAUAUGACAAAAGAAAAACUCCCAAGGCCAAUUACCUGUCCAAUAGUCGUAGAGUUGAAUCCAGGCAGCUUGCUAAGAUACAAUUACUGUCAUUUGACAGAGAGAUACAGUUGACAGGUUGGCCCAAGUCAUCAGAAAUUUCUCUAAGAAGCACCAAAAAUUUGUUAAAAGAUAAUCCCUAAGGAAUCAAUCCUUAAAAAGAUUAAACAUUGCUAUAAAGUCAAGUGCAUACCUACCAAUUCGAAUAUCAAAUGUCCGAACAGUUCCAUCAACACUUCCAGCAAUUAUCUCAGUUUUUGUUAAACAAACAGACAUGACAGUAUCCCGAAAAGUAUCAAUGAUCUGUAGAGUUAUUAAAAUAUUCAGUUCAAAGUAAUCAAAUUCCAAUUAUUAGAACUGUGAGAGUAGGGCAAGACACAGUAAACAAGGAGCAAACUAAAGGAAACACCAAAAUAGUGCUCCUAAAAGUGAAGCGACAUAUGAUAUCUUUUCUUAGAUCUCAAGAGUUCUGGAAUUUUCAUUUUCAUGUAAAGCUAGAGCCAAAUGUUGUUGAAGCAAAAAUUGCUGCUAUGAUGAUGGUCUAUUAAUACUUCUAGAGAGUCAAGAAACUUUAGGAAAUUUGGCGUCAAGAAUUCCUUGCAAACUCCAUCUAUCCAAUCUAUCUACACAAUGUAACCAAAACUCCGAUUGGCACACAACAUUGUCGUUUUCACCCUUGAGAUUUGGCAUUAGGUAGCAACAUAACCUUCAGCUUUCACAUUUAAAAUGGUCACUUAAAUAAGUCUUAUCAAUGCAACCAUUCCCAUGCCUUUCAGCAAUUACAGGAAAUGCUUAUCUUAACAAUCCAGAAACUCCUAUCUAUCACCCCCAGUCAACAUCACUAUUCUAUUUAAACAAGUCAAUGGAAGAAUGAAUAACGAAAUUGACCUGAAUAGGCUCAGUACUAUGAGACCUGCAGUCCCAAGCACGCAAAGAGUGAUCAUUUCCUGCUGAUACUACUACAGUUGCAUACUCAUUAAACUUAACAGCAUUCACCUGUAAAAAGAUGAAAAUGGAGCAAAAUGUCAGAUAAGACUGAUUGACACGAUACUCUUCUUUAUUCUCUACAUUCUAACAUCUUGGGUAUCAAUGACAACCAAAUAUGCAUGCAAUCAUUACUUCCAAUGAGGCAAAAACAUACAACGAGACUUAGUUUUGUUGACUUAGUUUUGUUUAAAGGUUAUUAAGAACUCAAAAAACAGUUAAGUUCUUCAAGGAGAUUACAGGACUAUGUAAACUAGUUUUUAACUCAAAUUGUUACCUUUAAGCUUUAAAAUCAAGAAAAUAGCUUCAAAGAAUUGUAGAAAAUUGGCCACCAGUGGACUACAUGAUAAGGCCUCUUUUACUCAUUGCCACAAGUUUUCUCAAAAACUCAAAUAUAGAAUUAAAAAAGUGGGAUCGGACAGACAUCAUGGAUAAGCAUAAAAUUUCAAUGUCACAUAUAACUGUAUGAAAAUUAUCUGAGAACAAAACAUACACACAUUUCAUCUGAGGAACUGGGCAGAAGCUUUGAAGAUUUCAAUCUCAGCUUUAAUUGGAUAAAUGAAUAAAGCAUUGGACUGCAAUUUAAAAAGGUAACCAAUUCUUUAAGAGAUCAACCAACAUGUCAGUCCACAUUAUACACAUUCCAACUCCCACCACCAAGCACAAUAUAAUAACGCCAAAAAAGAGAAUCUCUAUCAUCAAGGAACCAAAAGGAAUCUUUUAUCAAAUUCAAAUCUGAUCUCUGAAACCUUCUGAAUUCAACAAAUAGCUACAUAGGUCAUUAUUGAUCUCUUAAAUGGAGUCAAUUGGAACUGAGUGCACAGAUUUUUUUCAUUUUUUUGGUGGGGGGAUUGCUUAAAGAACUGCUGCUAUGAGAAGUGAGACGAAUUUAUUAUUAAACUUAUUCUGAUAAAACUAACAAUUUACUACUCCAGCUGUAUCUAUUACAAAAAAAAAAAAAAAAAAAAAUUCUAGUGAUGGAAUUGCCAUUAACCUCACUGUCAUGGCCACGGAAUUUUCGAAUUACUCGACCACUUGCUACAUCCCAAUAGAAGACUUGUCGAUCACCACCACAAGAACAAAGCUUGGAAUUGUCCCUACAACACAAAUAACCACUAUUAACCCAAAAUAUCCACCAAACUCGAUAACUAUAAAAUCCACAUCAGAAUUCACCAUAUCAAUUUAGUAAACCACAGAUUCAAAAAUAAUAAAAAUUGCAUUUUGCUGGCGAGAAAACCAAAACAAGCUGAUAAAAAACAAUCCACACACAAAAAAAAAAACUUUUCAUCUAAUUCAACCGUAUUUUUUCCUGGCAUAAAAAAUAGAGUUUGGGAUUUGCAUUCGAAUUCUACCCAACCAAAAGUAGAAAAAAUAAAAACUCAAAAAAUUUAAAAUCUUGGUUCGAAAGAAUUAAAACCCAUGUCAAGGGACUACUGGAAAAGGGAGAGGAAGAGUUUUUACGGGGUGACAUGGACAUCCCGGACUUCACGGCCAUGGGAUUUGUAGGUUUUGAUGUGAAUUCCACGGUGGGGAUUCCAGAGGCGUAUGGUACGGUCCUUGCCGCAGCUCAGACAAUACUCGCCGUUCGAGUUGAAUCUUGCUGCUAAGACGGCACCCUCGUGUCCUUUCAGCACGUUUACUUCCUUCGUCGGCAGGCUCUCGGCGCCGGUGUUGCUCAUUUUCGGGUUUGUACGCCGGAAGGGGUGAAAGGCUCAGCUGAUGAAGCAGAAAAGGGCGGCAAAAAUCUGGGUCGGAAAAAUUUUCAGGAACGAAAUAGGAAAAUUUUAUUGGGCUUUAGCCGGAUUGGGCCUAACAGACUGUAGGCCUGUCAACUGAAUCAGAAAUUUAUGCCUGAGUCCAGCCUUCGAAAAGCUUACAAAUGCAAGAACUAAUCUUGGCCCAUCUGUAUUUGGGAUUUUAAUUCUACCGUAAGUGUAUGCUUAGAAUUUUUAAUUUUUUUUCCCCUAAUAGCAGCGGCGAGACGAAGGAUAUUAAGAGGUGGGGAAGGAAGAGGAGGAUUUGAACGUAGACUGAAGUCAAUAUUAGCCACUAACCAAAAUGCUAGUUUAGAAUACUAAUUUGAAAAUUAUUUUGGAAUAUCAUUUUUAGCAUAGUUUAGAUUCAGAUUAGCCCCUUAUGUUUAUGCUUCAUUACAUGUUGUCUUGUCCCUUUCUUUCUUGUGCCUGUUUUUUAACUCAAUCGCUCAUCUUUUGGCUUCAACACUUUGGACCCUCACUCUCACUAAUUUGUAAUUUUAGUACGUUGUUCAUCACGUCAUUGUCCUCCCACCGCAUUGUUCUAGAAAGGGAAGGGUCCAAGUAUGCUAGUAUUCAACAUGAGUCACAAAUGAAUGAUCCAUAUAAAACUCAUGCAACGCCUCCAGGCGGGGUAGCUCAGUGGUAAUUGAUCUUAUUGGGUUUUUACUCAUAUGUCACAAUUUCGAGUCCCGCCUGUUAACGUGUAGUGCAUUCUUGGGACGGGUUUUACACUAUCGCUCUGAAGGAUUAGUCUGGUGUAAGUCAAAAUACCUUCUGCGUCAAGAAAAAAAAAAAAAACUCACAGAACAUAUCAUUAUUGUAAACUAAAACUACUUCAGAUGAUGGAUAACACUAAUAUUACUGUAAACGAAAAAAAUGUGAAUUUUCCCUAAUAUUUAUAAUGCUUCUCUUAGUAAGAAUCACAAGCUACACCGCGACACUUUUGUUGUUGGAAGUUAGGAACACAAUUAGAAUAGUAUCUAUUGUAGUUCAAAUGUAAUAUUUGAAAGUUAUAGGCUGUUCAAUCUGGCUCCAUACGUGCAUAAGUGGGCAGACUUGAGGACCAAACAAUUCAAACUUCUCAGGUCCAUCCCCAUUGAAAAGCUGUCUUCAAUGUACACGCCGCGUGAGAAUCUGUGUUCUAGCACAUAACAGCCGAUGAAUCUCAAGAGAUUCAACUAGAUUGCCUUCUCCUACUUAGUUAUUACUGAUCAAAGCUGCCUCAAAAGUUCACAUAUUUAAUGAAACUCUAGCGCUCCAUAUUGUGUUGCUUCCAUUACUUUGUAACAGUUAUGUCUUUCCCUAUGCCCUUUUGAUUAUUUACCAUUGAAUUCACUUAAUAAUAACAUGUCCUCUCCCUCCUUCACCACCCUAUAAAUCCCUCCAAAACCCUUCAAUUUUCUUCACAACUCUAUUCGGCAAAAGAUGGCUCUCAAGUCUGUCAAAUUGCUUUUUCUUGUCAUAACUUGUUUUAUGGUGAUUUCCUGCUCAUCAUCAGCAAGAAAGAUACUGCCAAGAAACCUUUCUGGAUCAGAUGAUCAAUCCAUUUCCAAGCUUAACACCCGGCCUGAGACCAAUAAUGGAAGUGUGCUAGAUUGCUGGAAUGCCCUGUCAGAGAUAAAAUCAUGCACAGAUGAGAUUGCUGCUUACUUCACAAAUGGCACAACUGAUAUUGGACCAGGAUGCUGCCAUGCCAUCAUUGUGAUUACACACAAUUGCUGGCCUACAAUCUUGUCUGCACUUGGUUUUUCAGCGGAUCAGACCUAUAUCCUUCGAGGCUAUUGUGAUGCAUCACUUUCCUCCUUUGGACCAGCUCAAGCUCCAUCAGCAUGAUCGUUAGUCGAUAAUCACCAAUUAAUUACCACAAAUAAUUAAGACUAUUAUGUUUAAUGUAAGAGGUCUAAGUAAUUUAUUUCCAGUCCUUUGAUGAUUGUGGUUGUGUUGCUCUAUUUCUAGAUUAUCUUGCAGGUGUUAUCACUGAUUAGGUAUGUUGUUUUGGAAAUUAUGGGAGGUUUGGUGGCUUUCCUAGCUAGUCUCUUAUGUACGAGUUUGCUUAUUGAAGUAGUAAUAGUCAUUUUACCACUUCAAUAUGAAUAAUUGUCUUUGCUAUAAAUUUUUGUCUAUGCUUUGUGAUUCCAUUAAUUAUCACACUUGUACUUACCUACUUUGAUGAUUAUUGUCGAGAUUAAAAAAAAAAAUGUUAUCUCUGGCUAUGACUUCUAAAAUUCAAGCGUGAGGUUUCCUGAAAUACAGAAAAUUCGCCUUUCUUAUCGAGAUUAAUUAUGAAAAUUCCCCGAAAUUAGUUACAAAUUCCACAAAUACGGUGAGGAGCCCUGUAAUGGUAAAUUAUGAGAAGGCUAAUUAAAUACUACUUACCUCAAAAAAAAUAUGUAAGGGUUAAAGCAAAUUCUUCAACCAAGAGGAAACUUUGAUAUAAAAAUAAAAAUAAGGAAAAAAAGACAGAUGGGUAAUUGACCAUGAUUAGAGAAUUUGCCCUAAAAGAAAGCAAUGAAGCAAAAUGAAUAGGAGAUAAUGAAAUCAAACCCCUCAAGAUAAUCAGUUGUCUGGUAGUUUUUACUUUUUACUGGAAAAUGGUUUAUGUAAAUUGAUGCAUGAGAUACCUUAAGGUUCCACUCUAACUCUUUUUUCUUUUUCUUUUUCAAAGUUGCUUGGGUGAAAGCUUCUUAUUCUUGAGUACAAUUUUCUGACAGCCAUAUCGUUUAACCAUUUGAAAGAAUUUGAUUGGGUACACAAAAAUAAAAAUGGCUAAUUUUACUGCAGUAUAUCCGCCUAUCAUAUAUCUAUAUAUGCACACACAUAUCAUCUAACACAAAGUAUUGGCUCAAAAAAAAAAAAAAGAAACCAUUCUAUCACAUGAGGAGACAUUCAAAGUGAUCAAAAUACUACUUUUGGGCAAAAUCAACAUAACCUAUUUUCCUUUACACAACUUAUUUUCCCUAGAUGAAAUAAUUGAUAAAUCAAAGGAAAAUUUGCCAAUUUGGUCCCUCACAUUUUCAUAAAGAACUUUUUUAGUCCCUCACAUUUAAAAUCAGUCAAAAUAAUCCUUCAAAUAUAAAAAGUUUGCAUGUUUGGUUCCGAAACUCAUUUUCGCUCAUUCCUCUAGCCAAGAAAUGCACGUCUCCUUCACUUGCACAAGCCAUCCUCACCAAGAUGAGCACAUGAGGUAGUCAUGCAGUUUUUGCAGAAAAAGUGAGCAAAAAUGAGUUUUGGAACCAAAUAGGCAGGUUUUUUUUUAUGAGGAAUUAUUUUGGUUGAUUUUGAAUUUGAAGGACUAAAAAAGUUUUUUUUGAAAAUAUGAGAGAGGGGUCCUUUUGGUUGGGAGUAAAAUGUUUUCCUUGAGAAAAUAUUUUCCAGGAAAAUCAUUUCACUUUCAUCAUUUUCAGGUGUUUGGUUAGCCUAUUGAAAAUAUUUUCUUACUUCAUUUUCUGGUGUUUGUUUAACUUUUGAAAUAUUUUCACUUUUACCUCUAUAUUUACUUUCUACACAUUAUAACCACAUACUUCUUCCCAUGCAAAAUAAAAAAAAUUAUCUCAUUGUUCAACUUUAAAAAAUUCUUAGAGAAAUGUAUAUAUGAAUAAAAAUUUUCUCCUUAAGCAAUAAACAAAUUGCUGGCCAUUCAUUGUCAAAUAUCAAUCAUACGCAAUGCUUAUUGUGACAUAUAUCUUGCACUCUCACUGCUGAAAGCUUCUCUAGAAAAGAAUGUCCCUAUUAUACAUAAUUAAUUACUAGAAUAGGGUGAGCAGGGUGAGGCCUUUUUUUGAUUUUGAAUAUACUACAAGUUUUGAAAGUUUGACAGAUACUUUUAUCAAGCGGGAUGCGUGCGUUUAGGAAAACAACUUCGGUAAGUUUAGAAGAGAAGUUGUUUUCCAUAGGAUGAGUGAAAAACUUUUACACAGUAAAAUAUUUUCAGUAACUUUUGUGCAACCAAACACGGGAAAUUAGGAAAAUAUUUUCCUGGGAAAGAUUUUCACCGGAAACAAACAGACCCCAAAUUGGCAAAUUUCCCUAAAUCAAAAUGCACUGUCUUAAACCUGAAACGCAAAGUGAUUAUAACUUGGAACUCAAGUGACAUUCUACUAAUUUUCCUAAACAGAUGAAGCAGCAAUCAGGGGACUUAAUGAGCCAUUUACAUCUGAAACCUAGCAUAUAUCUUGUCAUUUAUGAUGAGAACUGAGAAGCCCCAUGAACUGACGAACACUACCUAAAUUAAUAUCACCAAGCUUAACACGUUUAAUCAUUAUAAUUACUUCAUUUAAGCAUUAUCAAAUUUCCCAUGCAUGAUAAUCACGUCAUUUAAUUAUAAACAACUUUAUCCUUCCAUCGGUUACAAAAUUAAACAAAUCCCAUGUCCAUUUUUCCUUCACAUAAAUUGUUUAUAGUCCCUUCACCUCCCCAUACACAUAACUUGCCUUCUAUAAAUACACUAACAAGUACUAAUAUCCUCCACAACAAAUUAAAGACUUAAAAAAACCAACAAUGUCUUACUCUUCCAAAGUCCUCCUUCUAGCUCUAAUGGCAUGUUCCAUUUCCAUAACACCCUCCAUGUUCAUGGCUCGACCGAUAAACUCGAAAUCGUCAACCCUAAUGGGUAGGCUAAAAUUGGAAGAUGAAGAGGGUGAUAACUCGUUAUUGGCUACUUGUUGGGAAUCUCUCUUUGAGCUGAGGUCUUGCACUGGAGAAGUCAUUCUGUUUUUCCUUAAUGGGGAAACCUAUCUUGGACCGAGUUGUUGCCGUGCCAUCAGAACCAUUGAACACCAUUGCUGGCCUUCCAUGCUUGGCUCUCUUGGCUACACUGCUGAAGAAGGUGACAUCCUUCGUGGUUAUUGUGAUGCAGCUGAUGAACAUGAUGAUUCCGGUGGUUAUGGUUAUCCUCAGCCACCAUCUCCUCCACAUCUUGUGAAUUCUACCACAAAUUCGUCUUCCCACGUCUUGACGCCGUAGUUGAUGCUCAAUGUAUUUAUUCGAAAAAUAAAAAUCCCAUUAAAUAUUUUAUUUAAUGUUCUUGUAGUGACUUUGCCUCUUGAAUCUCAAUAUCUUACAUAUUUUUAAGUAUUUUUGUAUUCCUUCGAUUUGAUAAAUGUGUUUGAACAUCUAGCCUUAUAAUUAUCCAGGCAUACAAAUGUGUCUUGACUCCAGUAAAAUACAGGACGAACAUAGGGCAUUCUAGAGUGAUGUAGCAAGGGGCUUUUCAGCUGAUUGGGAUAAAAAGUACAAGAGAAUUGAAGAAAGAAUAGAAAACCAGAAAAUACAAACCAUUUCUAAAGGCUCAUAGUUUUUUUUUUUUUUUUUUUUGGGUAUGUGCAAUGAAGAGAUUCUACAAUUAACCAAACUGGAUCAAAAGGGUAGCAUGAAUAGGAUGUAUACUAGGAAAUCACUCUAUUUACUAAUACCCUGUGACAAAAUAAUAGAUCCCAUUUACUAGUACAAGCAUGAAAAUUUGAAAAACUAUUGAAAAGGUGAAUACAAGCACUAAAUCAGGUUUCAUUUGGACAGGACCUCUAACUCUGGCGGUUUAAAUCUUGACAACUAAAUCAGGACAUCAACGUACCUUUUUUUUUUUUUUUUUUAGCUAUUCUGAAAACACAUGGUUAGUGGUAAAAGAAACCUCUACUGUUUAGUGGUAAAAAUACUAAUCUUUCAAGUAGAGUAAUUGAGCGCUCAUGGGAAAAAAAAAACUGUGUUUUGUGGAACCACACUGUUAAUUCAAUCAUAAAGACAAUGUAGACCAAGGAUUUUUCUUGAUAAUGCUUUAGUAUUAUUAGUCCUUUUUCUUGGAUUUUUUUAAAUCGAAAUCUAUAAUUUCUUAGCACCAACCAAUUUAAAAUUUCUUAUUUUUUCUCAUCUCAAUGAUGCCGUGUGCAGUUAAUCAGACCAGUGUCUAGAGAACACAAAUCAGCAGAAGUCACUUGCUACUGAAAUUUGAAGUUACACUUCUCAUUUAGCACAGAUUUUUUUCUUUUUUUUCCUACUGUUCAAGUUCAACAUACCUUCCCACUGUAGCACCAUUUAAUUUUGAGCUGCUUGUCAUCAGAAAUGCUAGACGAUUGAUGAACAAAGAAAAGCGGGAGUUAAAUGAAGGCUAACAACACCAAUCCAAGGUUUGAAAGGCACACAAUUUUUUGUGACUAAAAUUGGUUACAUUGCAUUAAAGAGAUCCUAAACUUAACCAAGUUUUGGUGAUCACAGAAUUGCUGCUCCUUGCUUUUGAUCUGUAGGAUUUGCUUUCCCUCCCUUGUUCCAAGUAACUAUCAGCAGAAAAAUGAAAAAGAUAACAUCUCAGCAGUAGCAUGAAUGCAAAUUAUACUAAGAAAUCAUCCUCAUAACUACGAUCUUGCAACAAAUAAGAGAUAGUAAAGUGAUAUCUGAGUAUAAAGUUUCUACAGCUAGGAUAAUUUCCACUAACAGGGACAGCUUCAGAUGCAUGCACAAUCAUCUGAAUACAUUGCAACCCUGCCCAACCAAAUUUACUACUUCUGAAUUGGGUAUCAAGCACCCAUUAACAUCAGAAACUGUCCCUUGAACAUAUUUUACCUGCAAUAUCUUUUCUCAACCAUAACAUCAACGUGAUAUAUUGGAACUUCUGUCAAUCUUGUUGAUUCGUUAGCUCUUCUAUUAGCUUCUGUGAUUCAGGUCUAAAUAGUUUUAAAUCAAACAUUAUUAGCUCUUUUAUGAAGUUCUGUGAUUCGACUAAUUUUUCUGUCAUUUUCUUGCGCCAAAACACGAUUUGCUUGUUAACUGCCUUUGUGAGAAUUAGAAUAGCUGUUGGAUGUCAUGAAUUGGGAGUUCUAAAUUAAGACCUGUGGUGGGCUGGAAUUGUUUGUAGAAGUCUGCAUUACUCUGGUUGCAAUGUAUCGAAGGAACGGAAAAGGGCACCUCGCACAUAUGACAUGUGUUCUGCUGCUUUUAAAAAUCAUAUCAAUCUGUAGCAGCAUUUUGAAAAGUUAUAGCUGAAUCAAGUUGAGACCAAAUAAUUGGGAUCUCCAGAAAUUGCUUAAAGAAACAUGAAUAGCUGUCAUUGAACUAAUUCAGAAUAUACAAGUGGUACUGUGGUAGUACAUCUAACCUACUGAAUGGAAUCCCACUCUGAAUUGAUUCUAUCCAAUUCAAGAAAAGACAGGAAUGGCUCACCACUGUAAAAUACGAUGAGAGGGCGGUGAGUCUGUGACUCCUUUUGAUCUGAGUAGUAAGUAAACAGAAAUCACCAAUAACUUCAAUUUGAUCUUAGUACCAAGAAAACAUGGAUCAGCAAUAACUUCACAUAAUGAUCUUUAGACCCUGAUUUCCCAUUUCCAUCUGCUCUUGUCCAAUUUGCUUUACAGAACAUACAGCAGACUCACUACACCCUUUCACCUCAAUCAUUUCAAGAGUCGAACAUUCCCCUAAACAAGAAGGGGCCUCUUCCAGGGCCUCACAAUAAUGCAAAUCCAAUUUCUCAAGACGGGGAAAAUUAUCAGCAGAGGCAGUCCACCUGCAAAAGCCUAAAUCUGAUAGCUCCAAGCAUCGAAGAUUACAGAAUUCCCCUUCUUUCAUUUCCCAUUCUUCCCCCACAAAGGAAUCUCUAACUUUAAGAACUUCAAGGUUGGGCAGCUUUCCAAUUGCUGAAAUUUCACUCCAUGUCCGGUCAUUGCAUGAGAGAGUCAACUUUCUCAAAUUUAAUGGAAAUUCAAACUCGAAUGCUUCAAAUCCACAUACUACCUUUAGGGAUUCUAGUAGACUCAAAUGAUCCAGCAUCAGAGUCCCAUAGCAAAUUCCAGAAGAUGCUGUUUAGAGCCCUGAGACUCCAACACACUUUAGCCUGCGGAUGUUGGGUAACUUUUUCAGUAUCUUUUGCAAGCUUUGAGAAGAGGGAUCAAUUAUAAGGUUUAGAGUUUCUAAAUGAACUAAAUCCGGGGAUUCUUCAAGAUUGUCACUGGGAAAACUAAAACCGUAUAUAUAAUAACUUUAUACCCAAAGAUGCCUCAACGUCUUAAUAUUCCAGAUAGUCUUUGGCAACUCGACAUGAGUAAUGCUUCCAUAAACCACCAAAGUAUGUAACCUUGAGAGAUUGGCUAUUGCAGAUGGAACAAAGUCUAUUUUCAGAUUAAUCCCCAAGUAUCUCAAGUGAACAAGGCAUAGUACUUCCAAUGGAAAUGAUUCACAAAAGUCAAAGUUUCCCAAAUCCAACACUCUAAGAAGUUUAGACAUCAAAAACCCCAAAUCCAGAUCUGUAGCAUUCUGCUCAUAGCUAGGAAAGAAGAGCAAACAGCGUAAAUUGGGAAAAAAUUGCCUUGACUGCUUAACCACCUCUACCAUUGUAUUGUAAAUACACAGUCGGUGGGGAUUGUAGUUGCAAGGUCCUGUAGGACAAGAAGGGUCUUUAUACCUAUCAAUUAUAUGUACAAAACCUUCUAGUUUGGCUUUUUCCACACAAAAUUCAUGUACCAAAUCAUGAACUUGGCAGGCUUUGGCACCUCCCAGAGUUCUUUCUCGAGUAACCAUAACUAAACUUCUAGCAAUCAAAUCCAUCAAGCAGUCAUUGGCCACUUCCUCUAAGCUCUUUCUUUCAGUCUUUUGAACAAAUCCUUCAGAAAUAUAAAGCUGUAACAACCUUUGUACAGAAAUAUCUCGUUCAUCUGGAAAUGCACUAAAGUAAAGAAGACAUGGCUUCAAAUAAUCUGGUAAAUGACUAUAACUCUGCUCAAGAGUCUUCAUGCAGUUUCCAGUGUCAAGAAUAAUGCUGGCAUUUAGAGUUUCCGCAGUUUCUUCCCAGCAAUCUUGAUCAGUAGUAGCAAGAAUUCCAGAAACCAGGACAACAAUGAGAGGUAGUCCUUUACAGUUUGUUGCUAUUCGGAAUCCAACUUCACUUAGUAUAGGAGGACAUCCUUCUUUGCCAAAUAUCUUAGUCUGCAGCAAAGCCCAACACUCUUUAUCAGUAAGUUGGCGAAGAUGGUGAGGCUUGCAAUCUCCUUUAAAUAGCGAAGACAAAUUCUGAUAUUUGCUGGCGAACAUGAUCCUGCUUCCAUUGGCAUCAUCCGGUAGUGAAUUUCUCAACAAAUUCCAUGCCCCAAUGUCCUACACGUCAUCUAAAACAAUGAGAUACCUAUGUCCCUUCAAACGCUGGUAUAGUUCUACAGCCAAAACAACUUCUUCAAUCUUAACACAUUGGUUAGGACUCCUAGAAUCAAUGCUACAUAAAAUCUGAACUAACAAAUUGUGAUUGCUGUAUACUUGAGAAACAUAACACCAAGCAUGAAUAUGAAAGUGCAGUUUAAUUGAAGGAUCACUGUAAACUUUAAUGGCUAAUGUAGUCUUACCAAGCCCAGGCAUACCCACGAUAGGAACAACAUCCAACUGCUUUGUUCCUCUUGUAAGUCUGUCAGUGAUAGUUUCCACCUCGUCUCCAAGACCCAUAAGAUCUUCAUGGCGGCAGUUAAUUGAGAUGGCAUAUGAACGGAAGCCCUGGUAACUCUCUUGAUUUCACCAUUAUAACUUGUGCUGUCACAGAUCUCUUGGGCCUCGAUCUUCAUAAGAUUGAUGUCUUCAGCAACAGCAUCCAAAAAGUAAUGACCUUUAUCACUGACAACUAUCGAGUCAAUUACUAACUCUGCCUUGUAUGCAAUCUCCAUAACACGAUUCCAGCAAGUUUUGAGUUUGCCAUUCUGAUUGCGCUUCUCCUUCAUAUUCUCGAGGAAAGAUCUUAAGAAUGUGAGAUUUUUUUGGACUAUGUCGAUGCUAUCAACUGGGAAAGCAAGUGAAUGAUCAGUUUCAUCGCAGCUUGCUAGUUCCUUUAGAUUUUCUAGGAACAAAUCAACAGAGCCUAACUCAUUGGUCCUGGGAAAACUAAAUGAAGAUGAUGAUGUUAGUGGAUACAUGUGUGCUACUUCUGCCAUUAUAUACUUGAGCACUUUGAGCAAAUGGAAAAGUGCAAGAUCUGUUUCCUCAGCCAAGCCUUCUUCAUUUCAUUUGGAGAAAGGGUGAACAUCAAAAUUCCUGCAUCACAAGCCACAACUCCAAUAAGAUCCUUCAAUUCAUCAUGUAGCUCAUUGAACUUCUUCUUGAGUACGAUACUCAUGAAUCUUAUUUUCUGAUGGAGUUUUAGCAUUUGCUCCUUCACUUGAACCUGAAAACUGUUAUAAGAUCCUAGUAGAUCGAUAAGGUAAUCUAGGAGAGAAUCAACAAAGUUGGCCGCUGCAUAUUCAUUCUCCUCCAGGGCUGAAGCAUAUGAUGAUCUCGAUUGCUUUGAAGCUGUCAGGACAUGGAUAUAAGUUUCUUGGACCUGGGGGUUAACAGGAUUAAUCUUCUCCUGUAUCAAUUGAGAAAUUUUGUACUCCAUUUCAUCGAACACUUCAUCAUCUCUGCAAACCGACAUACAGAAAUCAAGCGUGCAGCCACAACUUCAACGUGAAUCAAGAGAUCUAUCAAUUGCAUAUGCUCAACACCUUGCACUGUGGCCAAGCCAAUGAGAUUCCUUAACAACAUUAGCUUCUCUUGAAGGGUUUCUAUUAGCUUCUCCCAUUUUCUCCCGCGAAGAUCAUCCAGAUACUCUACAAGGGAAUCAAUGAGAUCCAUAACUAGUCGUGGAUCACCUAGCGAGUGGUAGUCCAACAAGGUGAGGAUGCAUGAUUUCUUGAUAUCAGUUUCAAGAAACAACUUGAUAUUUUCCCUGGACCCGUUGAGCUCAAUUUGGAUGAUGCGUCUACGAUCCAAUGCACGGGAAUGGAUAUAUCUCUGAUAAGCUAAGUGAAGAUGAUGCGUCAUCCCAUUAAGCAAUUCUUGGAUCCUCAAAGAAAUAGUACUAAGCCUUAAAGUUUCAGACAUGGCAUUACCCUUGUUCUCGUGACCAUGCUCCACACAGGUUUCCCCAUCCCCACUGUUCCUCCUUCUCCUCCUCCUACAAUUUCUGACAUACAGAAAAAAGGUUUUCAAUAGCCUUACCUCCAUCUUCAGCUUCCAAAUAUCAGGAUACCAGUCAAAACAGGAGUUACAGGACUUGUCCAGCCAGGCCAGAUAAUCUAAAGCAAAAUCAAAGCAACAAGUGUUAUUGAUGGAAGAUGUCUCCAUCAUGGUAUCUUCUUUUCCCUUGGACAUCAGAUUUCUAUCUGGUUUAGCAAUCAAAUAAACUUAUCUGAAGAUCUGCAAAUUUCUGUGAUCUAACAAUAGCCAGUACUACAGGCCAGACUUUUUAUUUUUUUGGGGUAAAUGGUACAAUGCGCUAUUUUGUUCACAAAAGAUGCGGUACUAUGAUAGUAAAAAGUUGAAUAAGUGUUACAACACUUUCCCAGCAACUUCUGUUGUGGCAAACAAAGACCAAGACUUCUACACACACAAGGACCAAGACCAAGAGGUCCAAGAGAAUUACAGGUGUUUUUGUUCAAACCAAUGAUUCGUAUGUAACGGAAAUCAUUCUAUCAAAGGGAAAAAUUAUCAUUUUUAUUCCUCAUUUUUGAGGCUUUGACCAGUAUUGUUGUCCCUUAUUAGUCACAAGGUACUAAUUUGCUAGUUUUUUACUGAAAUUUGAGGAAGUCUAGCAGAAGACUUGACUUCAGUUGCAUUUGCUGGUUAAAUUAGAAUGAAUAACAUAAGCAAAAGCAAAGUCAAAUUUCUGACUUUUCUCAUUAUUCCAAAUCCUUAUUCUCGAAUUUUACCAAUUAUCGAAGAAACCAACUCUAACCAUAAAAUUUCCAAGAUGCCAGGCGCAAAAUCUGGACUGCGUUUUCUAUCUUGUUUAUAAAAGAACUCUGUCACACUUCUUGGCCACAAAACAGAGCUUUUUAAAUCAAGCUGCUUGUCUUGCAAUAAGUUCUCAUGGGAGUUUGGAACCAGGUUUCGAUUUCCUAUAAAAAUAUCAAGGGGGUAUCUUAUUUAUGAUUAGAGGUGUCAAAAUGGGUGAAUUGAUUGGGUUUGGACGGAUCAAUAUAAUUGAAUUGUGAUUGACACCUUUACUUAUAAGCGAUUUUCAAUAAUUUUUAGUGCUUAUAAAUUUGAGGGUACAAAGCAGGCUUAUUUGUUCUUCACAUGGAUAUCUAGAAAUCACAAAUGAUACUUUUAGACAAAUGCCCUCUCUCUCAUCCCAAUUUUUAUGAUCCCUGUCGUCCCAAUUCUUCUCAAUUCCACACCCUUGACAAACGAAGGAAUCCCAUAUUUUGAGCAACUAUAUUGUACACUUAUUGAACAACUUUUGGACCUCUAUAGGCUGAAAAGGAAGGGCAAAAAAAAAAGAAAAAAAGGCCCUGCAUUCCAAAACCUUGAAUAAGUGCAGUAAUUAUUACUUCAAUAAUGCAAAAUAAAAGCAGUACAGGGAAUUGUACGCAACCAUUAUUUUUCACUGAGAAACAACAACCAUCAAGCCAAAGUGCAGUUAUUAUUACUUAUUAAAGAUACUUAGAACUCCAAAUUUUGGGCGUAACAUAUCCCAUAAUUAUGCCACAAUAUCUCAGUUUUUCUUGAGAACUCUGAUUCCAGUCCAACGAGACUCCAUAUAAUCAGAAGGAUUGUCUUGUGUAUACACUCCAAACUUGAAGUAAUGUGUAGCGGGACCAUUAUCAUUAGUUUCGUACUUGAAAGCUCCAUCAAUGUACACUCUAACUCUCCCAGCACCUGUGUCAUGUAUCACAUUGACGCGAUACCAUUUGUUGUAGACGUUGGGGAUUAGGACAGGACUUCUGUAGUAUGUGAGGGAUGGAUUGUAGACUCUUAGCAUAGCAGUUGUGGCCUGAGUGCUUGCUCCAAAAACUUGCAUUACGCUAACACCAGUGGUUCCAGAGGGUACAUAGACACUACCCUCGAAUUGCCAUACACCUGAAGUGUAAUCGUAGCCCUGAGAAGCAAAGUAACAUAAUUAAUGGUACUCAAACUUCAUUGUUUUGCUAUGUAUUGUCAAAAAAGGGGUAAAAGUUGAACGGUAAAUAUCGUUUUCUAUUUGAAUUGCCGGAAGAAGAGAAGAAGAGAAAAACUUACAGUAAUGCGAACUUCAGUACGAGGUUUGGUAGUACUACCAGCAGAAAAAGGUUUGUCUGUCUUAUAAACCCACAGUUUAUGAACACCACCAACGUAGGAAUAGCGUUGAUUGACAGGGACAUCGUAAGGCUUCUGAACUUGAAAAUUUGCAGUACUGAGCGAAACAGGGCUGAACCCAUCAGUUGGAUCAGCCUUCAGAGCCCUCAGCAGGGUUAGGAUCAAAGUGGUGAAGAAGAGGAAAGUUGUCAUUGCUAACUCAAGAAAUGAAGAGCAAGAAAUUGUUUUAGGUGUAGUGAAGAGAUGGAGGACUGAAACUGGGCAUGGGUUUUUAUAGGUGGUAGAAUCUGAUCUUGGAUUUUAUUUUAUUUUAUUUUUUUGGGGCGGCUUAAAUUCGAUUUGAAGGAAGUCUUGAUAAUAAAACUGGUCAAAAAUGCAAGCAGUGCCCUUUUAGUACAGAAAUUCUAAGCGUCUACUUUUGAACUCAAGAAGCCCAUAACAGGUAAGGAUAAGAUAAGGGAUAAUUGCAGAAGCCUACCUUGAGGUUUAAAACAAUUUCAUUUAGCUCCCUCAAGGUUUUAAAAAUUAUAUAUACGUGCCUUGUCAUUUAAAGUGACAAUACUAUCCCUAAAUAUUUUAAUGAAAUUCCCUUAUUUGGUAUGCUUGUACUUAGAAUAGCUUUCAAAAUUAUUUUUUCAUUCUUUUUCCUUCAUAUUCCUUUUUUUUUUUAAAUUUUUUGCUAGUAAAACUGUAUAACUAGCACUAGUACUUCUAGUUUCUAUUGUAACCAAAUGUAGAACUAAUGAUUUUUUUAUGAGUUAACUUAUAUGUAAUCCAAUGUUUUUGCUGAUUUUUGUUUUCUAUAUUUUGGUAUUAAAAUUGAUAAUAAAUAAAAAGAAAUAGCCCAAAACCAUUACUAAAUUAUGAUAAUCUUACUUCUCAAAAAAUUCAUAAAUUCUAAAUGAAUUAUUUCAACAUUUUCUUUCCAUCUUAUAAAUCUAAAUCCAUAAUAAAAUACCAUCAAAAGUAUCAUAUCAUAGUGAUAAAAUUAUUAUUAUAGUUGUUUAUCAAACAGUAGGUAUGGAUAUGAAAAUUUUGGUACCUUUUCCUUAUAAUUAUACUAGAUAAUCUUAUAAUUGUAUAGGAAAAUAAAUUAAAACUCAUUACACAAGGGCAUUUUUGGGUAUUCAUUUAAAAAUUUGAGCAAGUCAAUAUUAUUUUAAGAUUUAGUUACUAAAACUAUCAAAUCAAGAGAGAUAAGUGUAAUUUUUCAAACUUCAAGGGAGCUUAGUGAAAUUGUUAGAAACCUUAGGGAAGGUUUCUGAAAUUAUCCUAUAAGAUUAAUUUUAUUAAUCUUCUACUAUGGUUCUACCUUGUUUUUUAAUUUUAACGAAGAUUGCAAUCCUAGUUUGAAAAUUUGUCAGGUAUUAGAAUCUUAGAAAGUGUUUUUCUUUUUUUGGGUGUGUUGUGGUAUAAGACCAUGGAGAGGGGAGACUAGAUAAUUUUAAAAAUCCACAUAUAAGUACAUUUCAAGACAUUGGAAAAUUAAAAUUUCGAAUUGUGCUCUUUUUGGAGGCAUUUCAAAGUCGAAGUGCCGAAGUCCAGAAAAUGGGGCAAAAUUUCAAUCAUGAAGAAGUAAAAUUGCAUAAAUUGAAAAGGAAAAGAACAGUCAAGUCCCAAAUGCCAGAAGAGUUUUGCAUUAUUGUAACCUACUUGUUUUCAGAACACAAGAAGUGUUAGUCUUUGCAAAAGAGUUGACAAAGUGAAAAUGUCCAACUAAAAGACUAAUUCCAUUCAAUGAUCUCAAUGACAUCAAUUUGUAACUGGAAUUAAUGUUUUAAAUGAAUCCAUUUGGCAACAAUCAUGCAAAAUUAUUGCACGCUUAGUAUUGGACUUUGUCCCUCUGGUACAGUUGCUUGUGACGAAUGUGUAAUGCCCAAAUCUGAAUUCUUUUGAAAGUUGACUUAAGCCGGCCAAUAUUAUAAGUUUUACACAUUCUGUUACACCAAGCAUGAGGCUGAUGAGGGUGACGCCCUUUUUUUUUUUUUCCAGUUAGAAUAAGGUAACGGGUAUGUAUUAUAAUAAAUAGUGAUAAAUGUAUAUUCGAUAUGUGUGAAAUAAAGAAAUGCAUAAUAUUUAAAGUAAAUGAAUUUUACAUACAUAUGUUUAUUGUUAAAGAAAAUUUUAAUCUUCUAAAUUAUUUGGAUAAAUUACAUAUAACCCCUCUAGUUUCAUCUAUUAUCAUAUGACCCCCUAACAUUUGAAAAUAUCAGCUUUACCCCCUAUAGUUUUAUGUAAAGUGAAAAUUUAGUGAAAAAUAAUCCAUGUAACAUCGUUAAUUAAAAUACCAAUAGUGUCCUUAUUUAAAUGAUAAAUCAAUCAACAGCUUAACUACCUUGUAUAAAAGUAUAGGGGGGUUAUGUGGAUAAAUGCAAAAAUUAUAGGGGAUAAGGUGGAUAUUUAUAUAAACCAUAAGAGGAUUACAUGGAGAUUAAGAUUUUAUCACACGUGUUCUUAGAGUACGUUUGGUGUAAACUUCGUAAUUGAUUGUGUAUUUCAUCUAUUUUCUACUUUACACAAAAUCAUAGGGGAGUUAUGUGACUAUUUUGAAACCUGAAGGGGAUCAUCUGGGAUUAUAUAAAAUCACAGGAGAGUUGUCAGUAAUUCAUCCAAAUUAUUUUGAUAAAAUGAUUGUUAUGUUGGCAGUUAUUGCUUAGGGGAUGGUUAUAUUGAAAAAAAAGUCUAAAUAGCAAAUUAAGAAAUGCUUAAUGGUAGUUAUCUUGACAACAUGUAUUUAGGUAAUUAAAGUAAAAUUAGUUUUUAUAAGGGCGAAAAUGAAAGUGCAUAAAGUGAGAUAAAUUGAAAGUAAAUAAAAUGUAAGGAAUAAUCUUCUAUACAUUGACAAUGUAUACACUUUCACCAUUAGAUGCAUGACACAUAAAUCGAAUUUAAAUUUAAAACUCAAAUUUUACAUAUGUGUCGUAUAUCUAACUGUGAUAGUAUAUAUACCGUCAAUAUAUAUAUAUAUAUAUAUAUAUAUAUAUAUAUAUAUAUAUAAGAUUUACUCAAAAUGUAAUAGGAAGUCUGACACCAAAAUUUUGAUAAAAUAUCCAAAGCCAAGUUAGAGCACAAUUCCUUUCAAAAAAAAAAGAAAAAAAACUAAAGUUAGAGCACAAUUGUCACAAUAUAAAACUCACUAUAACAUGUUGAAACCGCAAGAAACCAAGGCGGCAAAAUCACUUAAGUUUAUGGAGAUUAAAGGUGAUUUGCUCCUAGCAAAUGGGUUAUCAUGCCCCCCAUUUGUUAAAGCGCUCUACUAUCAUAAUGUUAGAAUUAUUUUGUUACUCGAGGACCGAUAAAAUCCACUAAGAAAUUGUUGAUGACACUCCACUUUUUGUUAAUGAUAUUUCCACUAUAAUUUUUUAUCAUGUAAUUUUCAUUUAUUAGAUUAUAUAAAAAUAAAUGAUAAGCGUGUGAUUAAUAAAAAGUAGGGUGCGAUUACAUUUUCCAAUCCACUAUUAUAUGGUAUGUUAAAUUUUUGCAUUGCCUUUUGGACGAGGCUGAGAAUUAGGGAGUAAUAUAAUUAAGGGUUAUUAUCACUUCACCUCCUUAACGUUUGGUGUCACUAUCAAUUUCCCCCUUAACGUUAUCUUUUAGUCACUUUACCCCCAAGACUAACGGUCAAACUUAACGAAAUUUGUUAAUUAAAGUGAAAAGACAUGUUUAACCCUUAAAAUUAUUAUCGUUUUACCCCCAUAAAAUAUAGUCUCAUUAUCAAUUUACUCCAUAGAGUUAUUUUUUAGGCAAUUUAUCCUACCAUUAAACCAACUUAGCAAGCUAAAAAUCUUUAGAAGAAAUACCCUCCUCUUUGCAUAAUAAAAAAUUUAAAGUGACUCUUCUCCAUUUUAGUAUCAAGAAAAAAAGUCAAAGUAUUAAUUUCUUUCUUUUUGGCAAUCUUAUUAAUAUUGAAAAAAUUAGAAAGAUGGAGAGGGAGAGGGGGAGGGGGAGGGGGAGAGAGAGAGCUCAAUUUUUUUUUAAAAAAAAUUACAAACAAAAAAGAAUUAAAUACUUUUAUUAUUUUAAAAUUAUUUCAUUUUUUUGUUUACCACCAAAUUCCAAUCCUAAUCUCGACAACCUUAAAGUAAUACGAUAAUGUUAGACUUUUCUUUAUUUUCUUUUUUUGCAAAAUCUAAUUUUUUGUCUCCUUCUUUCCUAUCUCUUUCUCUUUUCCUAGUAUUAAUAAAUGUGAAAAAAGGAAUUUGAGAAAACCCUUUUAUUUUUAUGUUUUUCGAUCUCUUAAAGUGAAAAAAAAGGAAAAAAUAACCAUUCCAACUUUUUAUUUUUAAUUAUAUAUAAAAAGGGUAAAUAUAUAUAAAAUUUCUUGACCAUACUAUUUAGAUUAACGAUGAGGUAAAAUGCCUAGAAAAUAAUGUUAGGAACUAAAGUGAUUGUAUCACUAUAAUCUAAACGAAUAAAGUGAUAAUAACAAUGUCGUAAUGCUAUAAAAUAAAAGGAUAUUUUUGUCUAAAAUUUCUUAAUAUGUUGAGUUGACUUACUUAUGGGGGUAAAGUAAUAAAAAGAUAACAACGUUAGGGGGUAAACUGAUAGUAAUAAUAUAGUUUAAGGGGAUAAAGUGAUAAUAACCCUAUAAUUAAUCAUUAAGUAAUUUGCUUCUAUUAGCGGACUAGUUAAUUGUUAAACCAAUCAUGUGGUGGAAAUAGGAAAGCUGACUUUUUGACCAUGUUUCUUAGCCGCCCACGCAAUUUGCCUUUCCCACGGACCGUCGGGUGAGCAUCAAAUUAGUUAUCCGAAUUUUCAACCCAAUAAAAUUUAAUUAUAUGCCCCCAAAAAAUUGGUUAUCCGAAUUUUCAACCCAGUAAAAUUUAAUUUGGUUAAUCGAUUUUGAUUUCGGAUGUUUGAUUUCAAUUUUAAAUAACAAUCGAUUUUUUGGGGGUAUAUUUGGUAUACAAAUUGAUCAUUCAUAAAUUUCUUUGGACUUAGGAUUUACGUAUCCCAUAUUGCACUUUAGAACUUAUGAUAGACAUAAAAAUACACAUAAAUAUUUAUUAGCAAUUAUAGGUAGGAAGUUCUGGAUUCAAGAUACCACUUAAAAAAAAGAGUGUAAUUGUAGACUUUCAUCAACUAUCAAUAAUCAUAUUUAUGACUUGCAAUAACCUCACCUGCCCGUAGCCUCUAGGUCCUCUACCCUAAUUCCCCCUCAUCACUGCCUAUUGACUCCAUCCAAAUUAAUGCUACCAGCUGUGGGUGUGUCUAUAUAUAUAUAUACACCAUUUUUUCUACUAGGUUGCUUUUAGGAUCUUUUUUUUUUUUUUUUUGUCAAUACAGGGGGUGUCCGGGUCAAUCCUUACGGGGCCCCGACUAAUCCUCAUUGCGGUUCGGGAGAAGAGGUCCCACUCCACACCGAACAAGUCAACAACGGGACUCGAACCGUGACCGAAGUCAGGUAGGUUACCAUACCCUAAAGAGGGGGAGCGAACCGUCACGAACUCAAGAUUUUUGCAAAGCCUUUUUUCUCCCUUGUUUUUUGAGCAAGGAGGCAAAAUACAUCAACAUAUAUAAAUAAAGGAUUACUAUACUAUUUUUCGGUUUUGAAAUCUGGAAAUGGUCCUUAAAAAAAAAAAUCUAGAAAUGGUAAACUUGUAUUAUUCCUCAGAAGUACUGAAAAUUUGCAAAUUUCAAAGGAACCAUACAACAUUUGACUUUGCAGGCGGCUUACCAUCGUGUAACCAUUUCUAUGUCUACAUGUCCAGGGUAACGACAGAACCUGGCUAAGGGGUUGAAUUCAUUGUAUGUUUCACAGGAAAUCUAUAUCCAUUUGAAAUUUUUUUUGAGAUAAAAUAGAAGUCAAUAUUAUUAAUAAAUUAAUUAAAAAUCUUCCAAUUGAUUACUUGAUUAAAAAAAAAAUUGUAUUAAUGGUAGAAUAUACGUAGAACAUGUCACAGGCAUAUCUAUUAGAGACUUCUUCAGUUAUUCAUUUGUAAAUACUUAAAAAAUAACUAACUGCAAAUGCCCACACUCAACACAAUGUCUCUCCGCCAUUGCGAUGAAUGACAUCAACAAAACCAAAAUUUGAAGCAUCCAAGAAGUACAUAAUUAAGGGGUACAAAGUCUACAUACUUUUGAUCCUUUCUGAAAUAAUUUCAUUCUGCUAAUUAGUGAGCUAAAUUGUUAUCUUGAUGAGAAUGGUUAUGAUGAACAAGUGGUUAAAAAGAUGGAAAUAGACAAACAGAACUCAAGGUUUAAUUGUCGCUUUUUUGUUUCUUGGUUUACAUGAAGUGAAGCUUUCUUAUCAUCCAUGAGACAAUACUUUGCCUUCCAUUAUCUUUUUCAUUUGUGUUCAUGACACAAAGGGAUAUUGUAAGAUACAUACGUAUAAUAUAGUUCAGGGGGCAUUGAUAUUUGCAUCUUAAGCUGUUUUUGUGAUGAUUUAGUACCCAAACUAUUAUUCUCUGCCAAUUUCAUCCAGCUAUAGCAAUUAGAUGCUAAUCAUUGAAGUAAAUUCAGCAAUGAGAUCCCCUUCAUUUGUAAAUUCUGCUUUACGCAGUGACAAUUCAAUUUGAAGUCAUAGCAGUCAGUUAGGUGGGGUGCAAUUGUCGCCACUUACUGGUGCCCAUCCAGCAGUCUUCUCAACUUCCUUGCUGCAGAUGACAAAUAAGUUGGACAAAAUUUCUACUCGUAUCGAGUCCAAUCAUCUAUUGAAUUUCCACAUAAACGAGUUUUUUUUUUAUUUCUUCCAAAAGAAUAUGUAAAUGUGUUCGGAUAGUAGAUUAUUUGAAAUGACCAUGAGAUUAUUUGAAUAAACUUAGUCGAGAGGGACAUUAGUCAGGUAAUCAUGAGAUUUCCGAUUCCGUUCUCUAAUCUUGUGUUUUUUCGAUACUUUAUAGUAGGUUUAAAGUUUCACUUAAACCAACAAAAAAAAAAAGAUGAAAAACAAAACCUUUAUUUUCCAUUAUUGAGAAAUAUCAACCAUCAAACCCAAGUACAACGGUUAUUAAUAUUAUUAGAAGUGCACAUUGGCCUUCACAUAUAUAUCCCAUAAUUAUGCCACAAUUAAUAUAUCUCAGUUCUUCCUGAGAACUUUGAUUCCAACCCAACGGGACUCCAUGUAAUCAGAAGGAUUGUCUUGUGUAUACACUCCAAACUUGAAAUAGUGCGUAGCAGGACCAUU